GAUAACGUCUGCUCGGAGACACUGGCGUCUUUGUGGGGCUGUCAGUGUCCCUAUUGUUCCCGAGCCGAUUGCCUGGGGAAUAUUGUUCCCAGCUUUUGUCUCCCCCGAUCACUUUUGUUUGCCUUUACUUACCAUUUCAUUCCCCGCUCCCUUUGUGGCUCCCAUUCCCUGCUUUGUCUCUCUCCCGCGGUGGCUGGGGAUUGGUGCCCAGGGAGACAAUGGGCUGCCCCCGCCCGGCCUGCAGCCCCACCCUGCGCCUCACCCUCCGCGGCCGCCGGCCAGCGAGGUCCCAGGGCGGGGGCCUCCCGGGAACCGGAAACAGGCCCAGGGAGUGCUUGGCUUCCAGGGCAAGCCAGAGAAGAAAGGCCCGGAUCGGAUGGUGCUCACGGCCGAGGCCGACCGUCCCAGCUUCCUGCCUUGAUAAGGUGGAAACGGCCUACAGAGCUGAGGAAGCCUUCGCCGUGGGGAGCCAGGGCGCGGACCCAGCCCAGAGCCCGAGCCAGGCUUCUGCUCCUUCAUUGUUCUGCUUCUGAGGACACUGGGCACAGUCUCCGGAGGGCCAUUGUGUCAGAAGCUGGAAAUUGGGUAGGGGAUUUCCGGAAGGUUUGGAUGGAAGCCAGGCUUGGCUGUGGGCAGACAGGAGGAAGAGGACGAGGAAGGGGAAGAGGAAAGGGAGGGGUCGUCUGGGCUUGGGGGCCUACUACUAGGCCCAGCGGACAAGCGCCCUCCCGGCUCCGCCGCUCCCGAUCUCAGGCCUCCUACUUUUGCUCUGGUUUUUUCUUUCCUUCUGUCCAGCUCCCUCCUCCAGCCAGCAUCAGCUCUAGAUACACAGAAAGCAAAGCGUGAUAGUCUGUCCCGGCCUUGAAGGCCAGAACUGAGCCUGGCAACCUUUGUAGCCCUGGCCACGGUGCAGAGAAAGAGGUCAGUGGAGGUGUGGAGGAGAGGAAGCCUUCUUGGGUUUUUGUUGUUAUGUUGUUUUGUGUUCGGGAGACUGAACCCAGGGCCUGUGAUCUGAGCUACACCCUGGGGGCUUGUUUUAUUUUUUGUUUUGAGACAGGGUUUCACUGAAUUGCCUGAGCUGGGCUUGAAUUUGCUCCUCUUGCCUCAGCCUCCCAGAGUGCUGGGAUCGCAGGUGUGUGCUGCUCAGAACCUCUGCUUUCUGUUGGGCCUGCGCGGAGCACAGCCGCCUUCCCUCUGCCUGCCCUGUGAGGAGGCAUUGAGGUCGGAGCUCCACCGGGACAGGACCACCCCGACCGCCCAACCCAGGACUCAGCACAGGUGCUGCGCCUGGCCAGCCCUGCAGUGCCCAGCAGAUGUGGAACUAGAUUAACACGGCGGGGUAUGCUGAUUUCUCCAGUGCUUUCUGGAGGGUGUUUCGAGCUUGGCGUAGUCAAUGACUUUGACAUUUACCGUUUGAUCCAUCUACAGUUAUUGAUGAGAUCUUUGAAAAUAGCCAUCGGCCAUGAAAAUCAAAGCAUUUACAUUUUUAUCUAAAAAACCGGACUCAUAUCCCAUCUGGACUGGAAUAAACUGGAGAUCUAGGAAGUAAGAUAAUAUAGGUUGUGAAGCAACAAAGUGAAGUUGUGAAAGCAAUAAAUUAUUUGCUUGAGAGAACAGAUACUUGCCUUGUAGCCAUUCUAAGACUUGUAGCCAAAUCUAAGCGAAAAAGGUGGAAUGUCUGGGACUUUCUAUGCGGGGGCUGGCUCAGCAAGGAAACAUACCUUUUGCCUUUCUUGUCGUCCAGAGGAGAAUGUGGCUGUACUGGCUGGAGUUCCAGGAGCCAUCUUGUGACCUCAGGAGGACGGGGAGUUUGAAAGUAUUCUGGUAAGGAAGGUCAAACAGAAAAAUAGAAAGUACUGCAUUUACCAAAAGAGACCAGGUCUUACGUUAAUUUUUGCUCCAAAAGAUGCAAUAGGACUGUUUUUAGGGGUUGUCUUAUUUUUUUCAUGUACAGGUGUAACAAUCUACAUUUAUUCAUUUACAGUGACCUACAUUUAUUUAUUUAUUUUUAAUGAUUUUUUGAGACAGAGUCUCCCAUUGUUGUCCAGGCUGGCCUUGAAUUCACUAAGUACCCUAGACUGGCCUCAGAUUUGUGGUAAUCCUCCUGCCUCAGCCUCUCGAGUGCUGGGAUUACAGGUGUGUGCCACCACACCUGACUACAUUUCUUCAUUCCUUCCUGUACAACAAUCCGCCUUUAUUCAAAUGCUGUCACGUCGUCUUCUUAUGGAACAUAUCCUAAUAACUCUCCAAACCCCGAAUGCCAGCCUGAAUUUCUUGCUGCUUCAUUUCCUGUAGAGCCAUUGGCCCCCAAUGUCUCAUGUCCAGCCCUAGAGCUGGCCUUAAAUGAGCGCUUCGUGUCCAUGAAGCCUGCUCCUGGUGCCUCAGCGUGACACACGAGGCGCUGACACAUGACGAUUCAUGUUAGAUGUGACCACGUGUGCCAAGUGCACACGUUAAUCAUGCCUUGCGCCUGUUUUCUGAUUGAUUGGUUAUUCAUCUGCUUUUUUCUUUUUUGGUACCGGGAUGGAACUCGGGUCCUUACACUUGUAAGGCAGACGGCGGAGCCAUUGAGCUAAAUCCCCGGCCCAGAGUCAUUUUUAUUUUGAAACAGGGUUUCACUAAGUUGCCUGAGCUAGUCUUGAACUUUGGAUGCUCCUGCCUCAGCCUUCGGAAUUGCUGGGAUUGCAGUUGUGCUCUGUGCCAUCCAGCCUCAUGUGGUUUAGAAAGACCAAAAUGAUAUUAACGGGGUCUAAAAUGAAUAAAACUAUGCACAUUUACCAAGGAGUAUGGAUGCCGAUGCCUGUGCCUGUGAGACAGUAUCACACAGUGUAAAGUAAUUAAAUGCUGAUUUUUUAAACGAAAAGGUGCUAUAUAAUAUUGAGCACGGAGGAGACAGUGAGAGAAUCAUGAAGAAUCUGUACGCAGCAACAACUGUUAUUUUCACUUUUCAUGGAAAAUGAAGACAGGCUGUGAAAUGCAUCAGGAAUGACCAGAUGAGGUCCGGGGAUUUAGCUCAGUGGCUCUGCCGCCUGCCUUGCAAGCACAAGAUCUCAAAUUUAGUCCCUGGUACCAAAAAAAAAAAAAAAAAAAAAAAAAAAAAAAAAAAAAAAAAUAGAAUAAGCAGAUGAGUCCGGGGAGAAAUUAGCCUUUCUAGCCUCUGAUUCUUCCGGGUUUGCACCUUUCAUUGUCUUGAAGCUAUUUUGUAACACGGGAGUUGUGACUAUCAGAUCCCAAUGCAAAUGUUCCUGCUUCAUGCUGCUGAGAAGGAUUCCUGUUCACAGGAGGGACGCUCCAUUUCUCCCUCCUCCCACACAACUAUCUCCUCCAAAACAGCAGCUUUGCAACAGUUUGUAAAUUCGUUUCCUGGCCUGCGUAUGCAAUGUGUGUGUGGUCUUUGGAUUCUCUUCUGAACUCCUUGAAACGUCUUACUGAUUUCUUCAUUAGUUAAUGAGUUAAAAUCUUUGAUGCGUCCAUUUAAAAUCUGUGUGAAAAUUGUGGCUUCAUCUUUUUAAAAAAUUCUUUGACUGAGGGGGUUUUAGCUCAGUGGUUCUGCCACCUGCCUUGCAAGUGCAAGGAUCAGAGUUUGAUCCCCAGGACAAAAAAAAAAAGAAAAAAUAUUUGACAGAACUUUUACAAAUAAAUAAAAAUACAUUUUCCAAAAAAAUUUUCAGACAGGGCCUAGAGAUGUAGUUCAGCCUAGCCUUGAAUUCACUAUGGAGCCCAGGCUAGCCUCAAACUCGCAGUGAUCCUCCUGCCUCAGCCUCUUGAGUGCUGGGAUUACAGGCCUGCACUAAAUUAGUCUUUGACACAGAAUAUCCUACAAGACUUUAUUUGAACCCUUAAUUAGUCAUCUCUGAAGCUGUGUUUCUGCAAAUAUAUGUCAUGAAACAAUAUUUUUAUUUGUGGUAUUGUGGGUUGAACCCAGGGCCUUUGCAUUGAACUACAUCCUCAGCCCUUUUUCUUGGUACCAAGGAUCAAACUCAGGACCUUGUGCUUGUGAAGCAGGCGGCGGAACCACUGAGCUAAAUCCCCAGCCCUCCUUAGCCCACUUUUAAUUUUGAUACAGGAUCUUGCUGAGUUGCCCAGGCUGAGCUAGAACUUGAUUCUCCUGCUUCAUCCUGUGUGUUGGAUUACAGGGCCCCAGGUCCAUCUAACGAGAAAAUAUUUUCAGUUAUUCAAUGAUGCCCUUUCCCUGUGAGUGUUCACUCAUAUCCCAUUUGAUCCCAGUUUGUUCUAUCAGAUCCUCUGUUUUAGUAUUGUGGGUAGUCUGUUCAAGUUGCCCUACAAAAUACCAUAGAUGGACUGGCUUGAACCACAAGGAUUUCUUCUCACAGUUCGGUGGCCAGAAGGUCACGAUGAAGGUCUCACCCCGUUGGUUCCCAAGGGAGGCUUUCCCUGGCUGGCCAGUGGCCCCAUCUGUGUCCUGCAUGGCCUCUCCUGGUCAUGAAUGGACAGAGCCAGCUCUGGGUAAGGGCACUAUCCUCAUCACAGGGACCACACCUCCUGGGGCCCCACCUCCAGAUGCCACGCCUCAGGGUUAGGGCUUCAGUAUGUAAAUUUGGGGUGGACACAAACCCAUCCUUGCCGUCCUAUAAUUCCAAAGAUGUCUAUGAGUUCUGAGGCUGGGGCUGAGUUGAAAGCUGACUUGAGGUGCCAGGACCACUUUCUGGGGCUGUGGAUGGAGAAGUAGGAGAGGCGGCGGCCUACCCUUGCGAGAUCCCUCAGCCCGGCACAUUUCUUUUUUGGAUUUACCUGUUGCAAGCUAACUUCUGUUAUUUGCAAUCAUGACAACUUUAAUCAAAACAAAAUAACAAGAAGUAAGGAAAGCUGGACAUGUGGUGGACACCUGUAAUCCCAGCACUCGGGAGGCUGAGGCAGGAGGAUCGCUGUGAGUUCAAAACCAGCCUGGCCUACAUUGUGAGUUCCAGGUCAGUCUCAACUACACAGCGAGACCCUGUCUCAAACCCCCCUCAAAAAAAGCUGGGAGAUCCUGAUAAUACUUUGGCACAGCCAGCCAGAAAUAAAGCUCAGGCACUGGAGACCAAGAUAAGGCUCAUUUGGACACCAUUUUUCUCUCCACGUGGUUUUUAUCCUCCUCUCCUUUUCCUCGCUGUCUCCCCUAAACUGGGAAUCAGGGGACUCUUCUCAAGGCACUAGGAGGGGCUUCCUGGUUCAGCUGUGGGAAUGAAGUAAAGAAAUGUAGCUUCUUUCUAGCUGUUUGUACUCACUCUGUGGGUCCUUGCUGUGUGUGCGAUUCUUGUUGUACUUCGCUACUCUUUUUGGUCUCCACUUAUCCCAGUUUUAUAAAUGGUUUUUCUUUCUUGUUUUGUGUUUGUUUGCUUUUUUAAAAAAAAACACUUGGUCUCUUUACCCCCGUUUUGUGAAUGGCUUUUUUCCCUUGGUUUGUGCUCUUGUGAUGUUACUAUUAAGGGUGCCCCACAGAAUCAUGUGGGCUAGACAUGGGCUUAUGUCAAUUGCUAUCUUGUUAUUUUUCUAACUGACCUUACAAGGUAAACCUCCGAUUUGGGAGAACAAGAGGGAGGAGCUUCUUUUUGAAUUAUUUUAACUGGUACAGUGUGUCUUCCCUUACAUGGAAGAGAAAAAUUUGUGCAUUUUUAAAUUAAAAAAAAUUUUUUUUGUACUGGGAAUCGAAUGCAAGGCCUUGCACCACUAAGCUACAUCCCUGGUCCUGUCCAUUUUAAAAGGAAACACCUGAGGCUUUUGCCAAGGUGCAGCCCCAUCCAGG
ensembl:lincRNA